rnacentral:rRNA from 1 species
UGGGGAAUAUUGCACAACGGGCGCAAGCCUGAUGCAGCCAUGCCGCGUGUAUGAAGAAGGCCUUCGGGUUGUAAAGUACUUUCAGUCGGGAGGAAGGUGUCAAGGUUAAUAACCUUGGCAAUUGACGUUACCGACAGAAGAAGCACCGGCUAACUCCGUGCCAGCAGCCGCGGUAAUACGGAGGGUGCAAGCGUUAAUCGGAAUUACUGGGCGUAAAGCGCACGCAGGCGGUUGAUUGAGUCAGAUGUGAAAUCCCCGGGCUUAACCCGGGAAUUGCAUCUGAUACUGGUCAGCUAGAGUCUUGUAGAGGGGGGUAGAAUUCCAUGUGUAGCGGUGAAAUGCGUAGAGAUGUGGAGGAAUACCGGUGGCGAAGGCGGCCCCCUGGACAAAGACUGACGCUCAGGUGCGAAAGCGUGGGGAGCAAACAGG